rnacentral:rRNA from 1 species
CAGCAGCCGCGGUAAUACGUAGGGAGCAAGCGUUGUCCGGAAUCAUUGGGCGUAAAGCGCGUGUAGGCGGUUUCGUAAGUCUGCUGUGAAAGUCGGAGGCUCAACCUUCGAAUGCCAGUGGAUACUGUGAGACUUGAGUACGGAAGAGGAGAGUGGAAUUCCUGGUGUAGCGGUGGAAUGCGCAGAUAUCAGGAGGAACACCAACGGCGAAGGCAGCUCUCUGGGACGUAACUGACGCUGAGACGCGAAAGCGUGGGGAGCAAACAGGAUUAGAUACCCUGGUAGUCCACGCCGUAAACGAUGGUCACUAGAUGUGGGGGGUGUCGACUCCCCCCGUGUCGUAGCUAACGCAUUAAGUGACCCGCCUGGGGAGUACGGCCGCAAGGCUAAAACUCAAAGGAAUUGACGGGGACCCGCACAAGCAGCGGAGCAUGUGGAUUAAUUCGACGCAACGCGAAGAACCUUACCUGGGCUUGACAUACCUCUGACCGCCAUGGAAACAUGGCUUCCCUUCGGGGCAGAGAUACAGGAGGUGCAUGGCC